CUUUCUCGGGCUGAACGCGGCUGGGCUCCCCCAAGGCCUCCCCUUGCUGACGGCUCCACGCCUGCUGGACGAGAAGCGGCCUCCCCGGGGCGUCGCAAGCCCCUGGGACAAGAAGAGGAGCCGACAUUGAGGGAGACCUGAGCAGUGGACGCAGGCAGCGUCAGCCUGGGCGUCCCCGGAGUCGCGGCGAGACCCUGGCUCCCCACCACCGCCCGGCUCUCAGCUUUGGCAUCGCGUCUCCAGAGAGGGCGGUGGAUGACGAGGAACUGCAGCAGUGUACGACCCCCGGGCUCCAGACGACCCUGGGGAGAGCGCGCAGAGUUCCUGGCUAGCGGCCCCCUCGCAGCCGGGCACCCCUUCUCGGCUGCGCGCAGCCACUUAGGGGCACAAGAUAAGCCCCUGGGGAGGGAGCGGGCUGCAGGCGCGGUGGGGAAGAACGGCCCGGACGCAGCCGGGCACAGGGAAGGCCGGGCCUGCAGACUGGAGAGACGUGGGCUGCGGUGAAACCGUUAGGGCUGCUUUGCCGCGCACAGACGCGGAGGCCUUUACAAGGCCGGCAGGCCUCGCCCAGGGCCUGGGCCGCCGCAGGUGCCUUUGGGUCACACCCGGGGCGAAUCCCACCCCCUCCUGGGGCCGCUUCUGUUUACCAAACCCCUCAGGCUAUUGCGUUAGUUGUGCGGGGGAAGGAUAGAGGCAGGGUCCUCUGGUGGAGGGGAGGGAACUGGGGACCCGGGGCUGCUGGGGACGCAGGCGACAGAAUGAAAGGCGAAGAGGCGGCAGCUCGAAUCUGUCUGGGGGUGAUUUUAACCGGCGCAGAGGUGCAGCAUAUGCUUUCCAGGUUGGACUGCGGAAUACAAAGAACGACUCUGAGCCCGGGGAGCCUCCUGACACCGAAACCAAACGAUCCCGACCUAGGGGGGCUGAGUGGCAGGAGACUGGAUUUUUUGUUGAGUUGCAAUUAAAGGGAGAUAAUUAAGCCCGGAGCCGCGCAGCUUAUUAAUAUUUAUAGCCCGGAGCGACAGGGCCUGCGCUCGCUGGAAGCGGAUUUGCAGGCCCAGGCGCGGAGCCGGUGUCUCCUGAGCCAGGGGCUUCGCAGACUCGGGAGGAGAAGGCUCGAUGGGGAAAUUGGGGAGCGUCCGCCUUCUGCGUUUCUCCUAAUUACGCCAGCGGUCAAAGUCCGGCCGGGCCGGAACGUCCCGAAGGCCGGGAACCGCGCGAUGCCCGAAUGCGGGGCGACCCGGCCGCAGUAUCCAGCAUUUCGGAAGCCCAGUUAGGUCUCGUCUCUUUGUUAAUUACCCAAACUGCAUCUCGCAGUAUGUUUCUGCCCACGGGGACAGACCGCGCGUUAAGGAAAUGGCCCAAUAAUUAGGACUCGGGGUAGAAUGUGUCUUAUUUUCUUGGAGCAUGUGGGGCAAAGGAGACAGUAGGUACAUGCGGCCCUGGCUUUGGGGCAAUUUUGCAAAAAAGAAAACGCCCUCCGGCCUCGAAUUUCGUCCGCGGUCGGCCAGGCGCCGCGCUUUGGUUCCUUUCCCACUCCGCGGUCCCCGGGUGUGGGCCAAAGCCCGGACCGGCGGGAGGGGCUCCCGGUGCCCGCGUCGCUGGCCCGGCCUGGGGGAUGCGCCCGAGCGGGCUGGAAGGAGGGGCUGCACAGGCGGCGCCCACAGGGUCGUAGCGCCCGGGCUGGGAGCCUGAGAGCGGUAGGUUCCCGGCCUGCGGCCGCGCGCUCAACUCCCGGAAAAUGCGCGCGAAGCUUUUGCCGUUUGUACCGCACGCGGUUCUCGGAUCUCUGCUUUUCGCGCACGGCCGGUGGGGGCGGGGAGGAAGCGCGGGUGGGAGUGGGCGGCCGCGGUUAGCUUCUCCUGUCCGAACGCAGGGUUUCACUGGGGCGCCGCUACGGUUCCUAUGGCAACGCGGCUCCUCGACGCAGCCCAGGAGUCGCGGUCGCGGGAGGCUGCGCCGCGCACCGAGCUCUUCCCUGUGGCCGCCGCAGCCGCCAGCCUCUUCCUGCUCAUGCUUUUCCUCAUCUUCAUCUCGGUCUGAGUGGGCUCUGGACCUCUCCACCAGCCUCUGCCCCAGAACUGUUAACUGCGGGGGGGAAAAAAGGAAUUUGUCGUCGCAACGCGCGUUCCGAUGGAGCCGCACGCCACAAAGGAAGACUCAUGCUGCACCCCGCGGGGCAGAUGCGGCGACACUGGACAUCGCUGCACAGCUGGGUCUGCCCGUUUCCAGAGCUGCUUAGCGCCGACGCCCAUAAAUGAGGAGGACUCCCUGUGUAUUAAAAGGGGGAUCCGCAGGGUUUAAUUUGAUAAGGAUUAUAGCCUUCAUAAAGGCAUUUUUAACAAAAAGAUGUAGGUGGCAUGGUAAUCGAGUAUUAUUUACGCAUCUCUCCGCACACGCACUCAUACCUGAAAACGUUUUGGCAGGCACAAAAUGAUUUUUUUGUGUAUAAAGAAUGUGUGUAACUCGUGGAUGGUGGGGUUCAGCAGGACAGAUUAGUGACAUUAGAUAAUUUACAACGAGGAUUAUGUUUGUGCUGAAAAUAAAAGCUAUAUUGUUUAUUUAGUUCAUUGCC
rnacentral:lncRNA from 1 species